UACGAAGGGGGCUAGCGUUGCUCGGAAUCACUGGGCGUAAAGCGCACGUAGGCGGAUUGUUAAGUCGGGGGUGAAAUCCUGGAGCUCAACUCCAGAACUGCCUUCGAUACUGGCGAUCUUGAGUCCGGGAGAGGUGAGUGGAACUCCGAGUGUAGAGGUGAAAUUCGUAGAUAUUCGGAAGAACACCAGUGGCGAAGGCGGCUCACUGGCCCGGUACUGACGCUGAGGUGCGAAAGCGUGGGGGAGCAAACAGG
rnacentral:rRNA from 1 species